rnacentral:rRNA from 1 species
CGGGUGAGUAAUGCAUCGGAACGUGCCCAGUAGCUGGGGGAUAACUAGUCGAAAGACUAGCUAAUACCGCAUACGCACUAUGGUGGAAAGCAGGGGAUCGCAAGACCUUGCGCUAUUGGAGCGGCCGAUGUCCGAUUAGCUAGUUGGUGAGGUAAAGGCUCACCAAGGCGACGAUCGGUAGCUGGUCUGAGAGGACGACCAGCCACACUGGGACUGAGACACGGCCCAUACUCCUACGGGAGGCAGCAGUGGGGAAUUUUUGGACAAUGGGGGCAACCCUGAUCCAGCCAUGCCGCGUGUGUGAAGAAGGCCUUCGGGUUGUAAAGCACUUUUGGCGGGAACGAAACGGUCUGUGCUAAUACCACGGACUAAUGACGGUACCCGCAGAAUAAGCACCGGCUAACUACGUGCCAGCAGCCGCGGUAAUACGUAGGGUGCAAGCGUUAAUCGGAAUUACUGGGCGUAAAGCGUGCGCAGGCGGUACCGAAAGUCAGAUGUGAAAUCCCCGGGCUCAAACUGGGAACUGCAUUUGAA